rnacentral:rRNA from 1 species
CCUUCGGGGGACGUUAACGGCGUCGAGCGGCGGACGGGUGAGUAAUGCCUGGGAAAUUGCCCUGAUGUGGGGGAUAACCAUUGGAAACGAUGGCUAAUACCGCAUAAUAGCUUCGGCUCAAAGAGGGGGACCUUCGGGCCUCUCGCGUCAGGAUAUGCCCAGGUGGGAUUAGCUAGUUGGUGAGGUAAUGGCUCACCAAGGCAACGAUCCCUAGCUGGUCUGAGAGGAUGAUCAGCCACACUGGAACUGAGACACGGUCCAGACUCCUACGGGAGGCAGCAGUGGGGAAUAUUGCACAAUGGGCGCAAGCCUGAUGCAGCCAUGCCGCGUGUGUGAAGAAGGCCUUCGGGUUGUAAAGCACUUUCAGUCGUGAGGAAGGUAGUGUAUUUAAUAGAUGCAUUAUUUGACGUUAGCGACAGAAGAAGCACCGGCUAACUCCGUGCCAGCAGCCGCGGUAAUACGGAGGGUGCGAGCGUUAAUCGGAAUUACUGGGCGUAAAGCGCAUGCAGGUGGUUUGUUAAGUCAGAUGUGAAAGCCCGGGGCUCAACCUCGGAAUAGCAUUUGAAACUGGCAAGCUAGAGUACUGUAGAGGGGGGUAGAAUUUCAGGUGUAGCGGUGAAAUGCGUAGAGAUCUGAAGGAAUACCAGUGGCGAAGGCGGCCCCCUGGACAGAUACUGACACUCAGAUGCGAAAGCGUGGGGAGCAAACAGGAUUAGAUACCCUGGUAGUCCACGCCGUAAACGAUGUCUACUUGGAGGUUGUGGCCUUGAGCCGUGGCUUUCGGAGCUAACGCGUUAAGUAGACCGCCUGGGGAGUACGGUCGCAAGAUUAAAACUCAAAUGAAUU